UACGCAGGGGGCUAGCGUUGCUCGGAAUUACUGGGCGUAAAGGGCGCGUAGGCGGCACUGUUAGUCAGGCGUGAAAUUCCUGGGCUCAACCUGGGGACUGCGCUUGAUACGGCAGAGCUAGAGGAUGGAAGAGGCUCGCGGAAUUCCCAGUGUAGAGGUGAAAUUCGUAGAUAUUGGGAAGAACACCGGUGGCGAAGGCGGCGAGCUGGUCCAUUACUGACGCUGAGGCGCGACAGCGUGGGGAGCAAACAGG
rnacentral:rRNA from 1 species